CACCAGUGCAAAGUGAACGCAGAAAGUGUGUCGCUUAUCUAUAUUUUCCUUUUCACAUAGACACGAAACUCUUCCACUUUCGGAACUGUUUUGGUUCAGUCACAACAACCUGAGAAAACACGAGCGACCUUAACCAAGGAUGAGGACAAGGCUGAGGCUAAUCAGAUACAAAGUGCUGGCUCUGGGGCAGAACUGCAGGGAUAAAUGGCUUCAAGGAAUCUGUGCUGUUUGGACUGCCACAGCAUGGGCCUACUUCUACCAGCCGUGAGCGAAGGGAGGACCAGCUGAGGGUCGAAGGUCAAACGCAGCCUGAAGAAAGGCACGGCUGUGUGCCAGUGCCGAUGCCAAUGGGAUGCUCUGUAGAGACAAGAGAUGGUAAGUUCCUUGGACCAGAGCCGUGUCAUCUUAUAUGGUUAUAAAGUGCCCAGCAUAAC
rnacentral:lncRNA from 1 species